ensembl:rRNA 5S_rRNA 5S ribosomal RNA
GUCUACGGCCAUACCACCCUGAACGCGCCCGAUCUCGUCUGAUCUCGGAAGUAUACUAGGGAAGUGACUGAGAACUUCAUCUUGUAACUCUACCACUAAAGAUUGUGUAGCUAGAAAAGUCUCUCAACUGUAUCCC